UCUUAACACUGAGAAGCAAAGAUAUCGUCUGUGGAUGAAAAUGAGUUCUUUGUUGAAGUUGCUGGAUGGAUAUUCCUUUUUAUCUUCACAAGUCCUGGAGGAACAGCAGUGGAUUCCCUGCCUUAUUUCAUCUCCUGGUCUGAUCCAUUAUGUCAACCUUAUGCAUAAGAAGCAGCUCUGUUUCAUCAUUACCAUCCUUUUCUGUUGAAAUUCUACAUCGUUAGGAGUGGUUAGCCAUUGAGUAGAACAGUAUCUACUUGCUACAAAGCACUUGAAUAUGGUCUGCUCAAAUGGAAUACAUAGAAAAAUCCUCUUGUCAGAAUGACUACAAAAAUAGAGGAAGGGGUUGUUCCAAUGUUGUCUUAAGAAACAACUUUAAAUUUUGUACAUUUGUGUGGAAAAUGUAUAGUUAAUGUUGAUGGAGCUUAUAAAAAAUAUAUUGUUGAUUAAACCAUCAUGACAUACCAGCAAAAGUUGCAAUCCUGUCAGACUUUAUGGCCUGAGCAGUGGAUCAAUAUUUGGAUGACAGGCUUCAGGGAAGAAAUCCGAGGAGGAGCCUUGUGGUGUCCGAGGAUGGCAUCUCCUGGAGCCAGUGUUCCAGAAAUGUAAAAGGGGAUGUGUGUAUCGUUGGAUGUGCCAACUUUCUAAUGAUCCGAAAUUGAGGCAGAGGGCCCAGUUCAUCGUAUGAUGUAAAUCAGCAUUGCUAUUUUGAAAACAGUGGAGUGACAGUGACUUACACCAGUUGAGUAUUUUGACAAGACUGUGCUAUUUGUCACACUGUGCUACGUUCCAGGUUGGUGAUAUGGCAUUAAGCCCAUUUGAAUUUACCAAGUAGUUUCAACAGAGUAUUUUCCUGCUGCUGCUGCAAUUUCUUGUUUUGACCAAAAUGGUUUUGCAAUGUCCUUUCAAACUGAAAACCAGCUGCUGGUAUUUGCAUCGAGGGGUGGCUCUUCUGGGGUGAACGAAGUCUGUAUCUGUUUGUAAUUACGUAAUGGAAAGCACCAGAUAUAUAAUCAGCAUGUACAAGAUUAAAAUACUUUCAAAGUG
rnacentral:lncRNA from 7 species